rnacentral:rRNA from 1 species
AGCAGCCGCGGUAAUUCCAGCUCCAAUAGCGUAUAUUAAAGUUGUUGCAGUUAAAAAGCUCGUAGUUGAACUUCGGGAUCAAUGGAUUGGUCAUGCCGAUGGUAUGAACUGGUCAUAUUGGUUCUCACCUUCUAAGGAACCAUGAUGUCAUUUAUUUGAUGUUGUGGGGAAUUAGGACUGUUACCUUGAAAAAUUAGAGUGUUUAAAGCAGGCUAACGCUUGAAUACAUUAGCAUGGAAUAAUGAAAUAGGACAUCGCAUUCUAUUUUGUUGGUUUCUAGGAUCGAUGUAAUGAUUAAUAGGGAUAGUUGGGGCGAUUAGUAUUCAAUUGUCAGAGGUGAAAUUCUUGGAUUUAUUGAAGACUAACUACUGCGAAAGCAUUUGCCAAGGAUGUUUUCAUUAAUCAAGAACGAAAGUUAGGGGAUCGAAGACGAUCAGAUACCGUCGUAAGU